GCUACAGCAUUUAAUUGCAAACUUAGUCAAAGAACAUAAACAUAAUUCUUAAAAGUAACGUGAUUAGUUCACCUUGUAACUCAAAAUAUUAAAGCAAAUAAGCGGAUCAAAAUAAGAAACAUCUAGUUGAGCAUGGAACCAAACAUAGCAUUUAACAGGAAUAAUGACUAAAUCAAUUGUAUAUUGUAACAACGGACAGCUUCCAACCAAUAUAUAAAGGCGAGCAUGCUAAAGCCGGAAACGAGUAGAUGUUGACUGGAGCUCUACACCUUGCUCGACCGUGAAACUACGCUGGCGACUUUGAUAGAACUCGAACUCAAAUAGGCUUUCUGCCAGCAAUUUUUCCGGAGCGCCUCAAAUGCCCGGAACACUUCGAACCUCAAAUGACUCGAACGGCGACCUCUGUUUUCGCGUCGAAAGAGAGAGCUGCUAUUUUGGGUCUUUGUGGGGUUGAAAAUGGUCUGUUCUUUUGCCGGUUUUUGGCUGAAUUUUGCUGUAAUUUUGGAGUCAUUUUGGGACAGUUUUAGUCCAUUUUCAUGGCUGGUUUGGGGCUGAUUUUUGGGGUGAAUUUCUAGCUCAUUUUUGGGCUGUUUUUGCUAGUGAUUGGGGUUGAAAUGAGCAGCAUUCUCAACUGUUAUUUCAGGUCGUUUUGGAUGCAAAAGAUGUGAGGUUUGGAGCUGAAAUGGGGGUGAUUUGGAGGUGGGUUUUGGAUUGUUUAAGGACUAUUUUAUUUUAGCUAUGUUUUGGGGUUGUUUGCUGGGGUUUUGAAGUAAAAACAAGGCUGAUUUUGAUGGAGGUUUUGUUUUAGAAGGAAGAUGAAGGUGUGGUAAGUGUGGAAACGAUGAUGGAGGAGUCUUCAAGUGUUUAGUGGC
rnacentral:lncRNA from 1 species